CGGGGCGUGGCGCAGCCUGGUUAGCGCACACGGUUCGGGACCGUGGUGUCGGCCGUUCAAAUCGGCUCGCCCCGACCA
rnacentral:tRNA from 1 species